rnacentral:rRNA from 1 species
AUUGAACGCUGGCGGAAUGCUUUACACAUGCAAGUCGAGCGGCAGCGCGGUCUUCGGACUGGCGGCGAGCGGCGAACGGGUGAGUAAUACAUCGGAACAUGCCCAGUCGUGGGGGAUAACACUUCGAAAGAAGUGCUAAUACCGCAUACGUCCUGAGGGAGAAAGCGGGGGAUCGCAAGACCUCGCGCGAUUGGAGUGGCCGAUGUCAGAUUAGCUAGUUGGGGGGGUAAAGGCCUACCAAGGCAACGAUCUGAAGCUGGUCUGAGAGGAUGAUCAGCCACACUGGGACUGAGACACGGCCCAGACUCCUACGGGAGGCAGCAGUGGGGAAUUUUGGACAAUGGGGGCAACCCUGAUCCAGCCAUUCCGCGUGAGUGAAGAAGGCCUUCGGGUUGUAAAGCUCUUUCGGCAGGAGCGAAACGGCGAGCUCUAACAUAGCUCGCUAAUGACGGUACCUGAAGAAGAAGCACCGGCUAACUACGUGCCAGCCGCCGCCGUAACAC